rnacentral:rRNA from 1 species
GGAUGAACGCUGGCGGUAUGCCUAACACAUGCAAGUCGUACGAGAGUUUUUAACUCUAGUGGCGGACGGGUGAGUAACACGUGAGAAUUUGCCUUUAGGAGGGGGGACAACAAUUGGAAACGAAUGCUAAUACCCCAUAUGCUUUAGAGUGAAAUGGAUUUUAUCCGCCUAGAGAGAAGCUCGCGGCUGAUUAGCUUGUUGGUAAGGUAAGAGCUUACCAAGGCGACGAUCAGUAUCUGGUUUGAGAGGACGAUCAGACACACUGGAACUGAGACACGGUCCAGACUCCUACGGGAGGCAGCAGUGGGGAAUUUUCCGCAAUGGGCGAAAGCCUGACGGAGCAAUACCGCGUGAGGGAAGAAUGCCUAUGGGUUGUAAACCUCUUUUUUCAGGGAGGAAUAAAAUGACGUGUACCUGAAGAAUAAGCAUCGGCUAACUCCGUG